rnacentral:rRNA from 1 species
GACGAACGCUGGCGGCGUGCUUAACACAUGCAAGUCGAACGGAAAGGCCCUGCUUUUGUGGGGUGCUCGAGUGGCGAACGGGUGAGUAACACGUGAGUAACCUGCCCUUGACUUUGGGAUAACUUCAGGAAACUGGGGCUAAUACCGGAUAGGAGCUCCUGCUGCACGGUGGGGGUUGGAAAGUUUCGGCGGUUGGGGAUGGACUCGCGGCUUAUCAGCUUGUUGGUGGGGUAGUGGCUUACCAAGGCUUUGACGGGUAGCCGGCCUGAGAGGGUGACCGGCCACAUUGGGACUGAGAUACGGACCAGACUCCUACGGGAGGCAGCAGUGGGGAAUAUUGCACAAUGGGCGGAAGCCUGAUGCAACAACGCCGCGUGCGGGAUGACGGCCUUCGGGUUGUAAACCGCUUUCGCCUGUGACGAAGCGUGAGUGACGGUAAUGGGUAAAGAAGCACCGGCUAACUACGUG